rnacentral:lncRNA from 1 species
GAGUAUUAGUAUACUCAGCCUUGCUAGUUUUAUAUUUUUCAGGUAAAGUCUUGAAGACCCUACUCUUUCCCUGCCUUGGCCCUGUGCUCUUCCAGACAGUUGGUCCGUGGAAUGGGAUCCGUCCCCGACCAACAUUGGUGAUACCGAGUGAUGUCGUGCCUGGGCUUAGCAUGACAUCCGUCUUAACGACGUGUUGUAAUCGUCGCGUAUGUUUGCCGCUGCCAAAAACCAUAGCGUUAGCAGUUUGUAAUGUACUACUUUUGAAAACUCUUUUAAUGCAAAUCCCUGUGAUGUA